rnacentral:rRNA from 1 species
CGAAGGGUGCAAGCGUUGCUCGGAAUUAUUGGGCGUAAAGGGUAGGUAGGUGGUUACGUAUGUCUGGGGUGAAAUCCCUGAGCUCAACUCAGGAAGUGCCUUGGAAACGGCGUAACUAGAGUGCUAGAGAGGUUCGUGGAAUUCCCAGUGUAGCGGUGAAAUGCGUAGAGAUUGGGAGGAACACCAGAGGCGAAGGCGGCGAACUGGAUAGCAACUGACACUGAACUACGAAAGCGUGGGUAGCAAACAGGAUUAGAUACCCUGGUAGUCCACGCUGUAAACGAUGGGUACUAGGCUUCGUGGGAGUUGACCCCUGCGGGGCCGGAGCUAACGCAGUAAGUACCCCGCCUGGGAAGUACGGUCGCAAGACUA